rnacentral:rRNA from 1 species
CUACGGGAGGCAGCAGUGGGGAAUUUUGGACAAUGGGCGCAAGCCUGAUCCAGCCAUUCCGCGUGAGUGAAGAAGGCCUUCGGGUUGUAAAGCUCUUUCGCAAGGGAAGAAAACUUAUCCUCUAACAUAGGGUGAGGUUGACGGUACCUUGAUAAGAAGCACCGGCUAACUACGUGCCAGCAGCCGCGGUAAUACGUAGGGUGCGAGCGUUAAUCGGAAUUACUGGGCGUAAAGCGUGCGCAGGCUGUUUUGUAAGUCAGAUGUGAAAUCCCCGAGCUCAACUUGGGAACUGCGUUUGAAACUACAAGACUAGAAUAUGCCAGAGGGGGGUAGAAUUCCACGUGUAGCAGUGAAAUGCGUAGAGAUGUGGAGGAAUACCAAUGGCGAAGGCAGCCCCCUGGGAUAAUAUUGACGCUCAUGCACGAAAGCGUGGGGAGCAAACAGGAUUAGAUACCCGCGUAGUC